rnacentral:RNase_P_RNA from 1 species
GGCAGCAGGCCAGGGCUAUCGGUCGCCGCAAGGCGGCUGAGGAAGUUCCCCACACCCGUCCCGUCAAAGGGGCGCCUAACAACACCCGAGAGGGUCAGUGCAGGAACAGAAACGACACCCUUCCCGCGCGUCAAGAAUGAACCUUUGCGCGACUUGCGCGGAAGGAGGGAUGAAACGGCCCGCACAGGUGCAAGGCCCAAGAGCCGCUUAGUCGAAUGCCCGGGCUCACAGCGGCCACUGCUUCGCAGUGGCGCACGCCUGUUUGAGCCCAAUACAGAAUGGGGACUAUGGCCUGCAGCC